rnacentral:rRNA from 1 species
UACGUAGGGUGCAAGCGUUGUCCGGAAUUAUUGGGCGUAAAGGGCUCGUAGGCGGUCCAUCGCGCGGGAGUGAAAAGCUGGGGCUUAACCCCAGUCCUGCUUCCGAUACGGGUGGACUAGAGGUAGGUAGGGGAGAUCGGAAUUCCUGGUGUAGCGGUGAAAUGCGCAGAUAUCUGGAGGAACACCGGUGGCGAAGGCGGCAUCCUGGACCGAUACUGACGCUGAGGAGCGAAAGCCAGGGGAGCAAACGGG